AACCCGUGAGCGACUUUGAGAGAGUUUCUGUUAGACUGCUCCAGCCCGUAGUUUGCGUGCGGGUGCUGGUGGGUCUGCCCUGCAGAGAGUUGCGUUAGCAACCAUCCCUCCCUCCAGCGCUCGCCUCCGGGUCCCUAAGGAAAACGUUCCCCUGGUCAGGACGCUGGAGCGCGCAUGGGCCUCGCAGCCAUUGACGACUGGACGCGAGCUGCGGUACAAACCCCGACGCGGAGACGUUGGCGACAGUGGCCGCUGGGGGAGCUGCUGAGUGCCGCCCAGCACUGGGCUCCCUUUCCCUUCACUCUCGGCAGUUUCUUGCCUCCGUGGGUGGUUGGCGCGUCUGCGGAGCCAGAGUCGUUGUGUGGAUCGUGGGACUGCAGCCCCAGCCAAAGGGCUGUCACGUCUGGUCGGUUCCGUCACCCACGGUUCCGGUUUCCAGUCGUUAAGGGUCCAGCAGUCUGUUAAGUAGCUCCCUGUCCCUUCUGGAAGCUUGGCCAGGGAAGGUCAUUCCACCUUUGAGUUCCAGGAGACAAGGUCUCACUGUGUCACCCAGGUCGGAGUGCACUGGUACAAUCAUAGCUCAUGGCAACCUCAAACUCCAAGGUUCAAGUGAUCCUCCUGCCUUGGCCUCUGGAAGUGUUGGAAUUACAGCUGUGAGCCAUGGUGUUGGGUAUCAGAAGAACCAGCCCCCAAUAUUUCAGCAUGAAAUCUCGCUCUGUCAUCCAGGCUGGAGUGCAGUCGCACUAUCUCAACUCAUUGUAACCUCUGCACUUGUUCCCUAAAAUCACUGUUAUUCUGUUCUUUUUUAAGGUGCACUGAUUUCAUAUUGUUCAAAUGCACAUUUACAAUCAGAUUUCAUAUUGUUCAAACACACAUGUUUUACAAUCAAUUUGUUAGUUAAUGCAAUCAUCACAGGGUCCUGAGGUGACGUACAUUCUCAGCUUAUGAAGAUAACAGGAUUGAGAUUAAAAUAAAGACAGGCAUAAGAAAUUAUAAGAGUAUUAUUUGGGAACUGAUAAAUGUUCA
rnacentral:lncRNA from 1 species